UAAGGAAUAUUGGUCAAUGGACGAAAGUCUGAACCAGCCAUGCCGCGUGAAGGAUGAAGGCCCUCUGGGUUGUAAACUUCUUUUAUAGGGGACGAAAAAAGGGCAUUCUUGCUCACUUGACGGUACCCUAGGAAUAAGCACCGGCUAACUCCGUGCCAGCAGCCGCGGUAAUACGGAGGGUGCAAGCGUUAUCCGGAUUUACUGGGUUUAAAGGGUGCGUAGGUGGGUCUGUAAGUCAGUGGUGAAAUCUCCGGGCUUAACCCGGAAACUGCCAUUGAUACUAUAGAUCUUGAAUAUCCUGGAGGUGAGCGGAAUAUGUCAUGUAGCGGUGAAAUGCUUAGAUAUGACAUAGAACACCAAUUGCGAAGGCAGCUCACUACGGGAUUAUUGACACUGAGGCACGAAAGCGUGGGGAUCAAACAG
rnacentral:rRNA from 1 species